UUCUCUCAAAAAUGUUAUUCUUUCAGGAUCCACGUUGUUCAAAACAAUAUUUUCUCUAGCAAGCUCCACAGCAGGCAGUGAUGUAUCAACGCCUAAGAGAAUAUAAGAGAUGAUGGAACAGUCAAUGUUUUUUCAAGGUAGGUGCAAUCUUACAAUGUCUACUAUUAUGGUGUGCAGAUAAUCCAAACUACAUAAAUUUAAAUGUUACUAACAAGGUGAAUGAACUUGGGAAAGCUAGGAAAACAAAGUCCCCGAUAAUAUAUUAGGGUGACAGUCUUGGAGAAAAUGGCUUUUCUUAGAUAUCAAUUUUUGAUAAGGGCAAAAAUAAGUGGGGAAAAUAUACCAGUUACAUUUACAGCACCUCCUCUUAUAGCACUUAGAGAAAAACCACCACUGUAGCAGCAAAUAUCAAGAACCUUCUGUCCGCUUGAUAUUGUUGAAAUGAACUGACGGUUUUCACGCUGAUCAGCAUAAAAUCCAGUUUUCUGGCCUUCCAUUGAAAUUGCAUAAGAUAUCCCAUUUUCUAAAACCUGGGACAUGGAUUACAAGAUGGAAUAAAUUACCCAUGCUUAACAGAUCUAAUAACAUUGUAGAAUCAGCCUGCGAUUUAAAUUUGAGUGGUGGUAGCAAAAAAUCAAGAUUACAAGAACAAGUAAGCCUGUCAGUAUCUCAGCAAUUCCUGUAGAAAUGGUGCAAUUUUCAUGAAUUUUCAUUCGACCAAUCCUCAAUAUGUACCAUAUUUUCUUUUGAGAAAAAAGUUAACCCUUGAUACCAAUCAUUGAAGGAAAUUCUUCAACUAUAAUGUACCUAGGAGGUUAAAACAUCAUAACACAUAGGGUAGAAUGGCAUUACUAAAAGAGAAUCAGAUUUUAGACAUUACACAGAAACAGUUGGAGCAGGCGUUGAUUUAUUACAGAAAAUUUCAUGAAUUCACAUGUAUUAUGCAGAAAGAAUAAAUAUGAUAAACACCUGCUAAUUUGCAUAGUGGUAAAACUUUGUUUACACUAUUUUUCUGCAGAUCCUGACAAUUUCACAAGCUUGCACUAGUAACCCAAUGUUAAUAUACAAUGUUCGAAUGGAUUUCCUACCUUUGUUCUUUCAGGGUAUGUAGAUGGAUCCGUUUCUUUCAAAUCUGACAAAUCCAACCCUUCUUCUUUCAAAAUUUCAACCGAUGGUCUCCAUUUUAUAUGUUUGAUAUCACAAACUUUACGAAUGUUAGCCUCUAUCUCUGGUUUGUGCUUC
rnacentral:lncRNA from 1 species